rnacentral:lncRNA from 1 species
GUCCAGAAAUUGAGCAAAUGAGUCAUCCCACACAGAACAAUGAAUGCAAUAAAUUGGAAGAGCACCCAUUUGAAUGGAAAGUUAGAACAGCUUACGAAGUAAAGGAGCUCAAUUGGGAUGGAAAAAUAGGCUAUGGCAAUAAAUAAAUCACUGAUUCUUUGGCACUCUAAGAUACGUUCAAUGCUCCAAAAUCCUUCAUCAUCACAGUUACACCGAGGGAAACCAUUAUCAGCAGCCGAUAAGGAAACAAUGAAUGACACAAUUAACAAAGCUGAUACAAAUUUCCUUAACAUUGCAUCCAAUUUGACCAAGUGUUCAGCGCAUUUACUGGAUAGACUAUCUAUCUACUAUUUCAGCAACGAUGCCAGCUUAAUCUGCAAUUAUCGACCUGACAAAUCCAACCACAUAUGCAUGAAACUACUUGUUAUGUUCAUUUCCAGUUCAAUAACGUGACAAGAACAUGAAAACACCUUUUCUAGAGCAAAGGAAAACGAAGCGGCAUGGCAUCAAUAUAAAAUUCCAGAGAUAGAUUUAAGUGCAUGCACCAACACCCACUUGCAAUAGGCUAUCGCAAUAAAUAAAUCACUGAUUCUUUGGCACUCUAAGAUACGUUCAAUGCUCCAAAAUCCUUCAUCAUCACAGUUACAACGAGGGAAACCAUUAUCAGCAGCCGAUAAGGAAACAAGGAAUGACAAAAUUAACAAAGCUGAUGCUAAUGUCCUUAACAUUGCAUCCAAUUUGACCAAGUCUUCAGCUCAUUUACUAGAUAGACUGUAUAUCUACUAUUUCAGCAACGAUGCCAGCUUAAUCUGCAAUUAUAGACCUGACAAAUCCAACCACAUAAGCAUGAAACAACUUGUUAUGUUCAUUUCCAGUUCAAUAACGUGACAAGAACAUGAAAACACCUUUUCUAGAGCAAAGGAAAACGAAGCGGCAUGGCAUCUAUAUAAAAUUCAGAGAUAGAUUCAAGUGCAUGCACCAACACCCACUUGCAAUAACAUAUGUUGCUUAAUUUCCAAAGAGCACAGUUUCAAAAACAAACUAGUCCUACAAUUUAAAAGGAAAUUUUCUAGCAGAAUUGUUACUUCAACAUAAAUAGUGUAGUAAUUUAUUAAUGACAAGUGGUGUGUGGUCGUGCUUGUGCGCAACUCAACUAUUCCAUGGGUGCUAGAUAUUAUAUUGAUCGCAAAAUUGUUACUUUAGAAUUACUAUUAUAUCAAUCGCAAAAUAAGAUUCAGAUCAUAAGUCCACCACUAUGUCAGCCAUAAAUAUAAUCACCCAAUUACCAAAAAAAAAAAAUGAACAAG